AUUGAACGCUGGCGGCAUGCCUUACACAUGCAAGUCGAACGGCAGCACGGGAGCAAUCCUGGUGGCGAGUGGCGAACGGGUGAGUAAUAUAUCGGAACGUGCCCAGUCGUGGGGAUAACGUAGCGAAAGCUACGCUAAUACCGCGUACGAUCUAUGGAUGAAAGCGGGGGAUCGCAAGACCUCGCGCGAUUGGAGCGGCCGAUAUCAGAUUAGGUAGUUGGUGAGGUAAAGGCUCACCAAGCCGACGAUCUGUAGCUGGUCUGAGAGGACGACCAGCCACACUGGGACUGAGACACGGCCCAGACUCCUACGGGAGGCAGCAGUGGGGAAUUUUGGACAAUGGGCGCAAGCCUGAUCCAGCAAUGCCGCGUGCAGGAUGAAGGCCUUCGGUUGGUAAAC
rnacentral:rRNA from 1 species